CACCAGCGCCACGAGUGGCGAUCGCGAUUAUUGGGCCUAAAGCGUCCGUAGUCUGCUUUGUACAUCUUCUGUGAAAUCGCUGCGCUCAACGUAGCGACGUGCGGAAGACACGGCAGAGCUUGAGACCGGGAGGCGUCGAGGGUACUCCGGGGGGACCGGUAAAAUGGUAUAAUCCCCGGAAGACCACCUGUGGCGAAGGCGCUCGACGAGUACGGAUCUGACGAUGAGGGACGAAAGCCAGGGGA
rnacentral:rRNA from 1 species